AGGCGGACCCAAGCGCACCAGCCACGCUUCCCGGCCGACAGCCCCCCGAAGGGAGAACCCGACGCACCCAGCGCCGCCACCCCCGCCUGGCUGUUCCCGCUCAGAUCAUUCCAUGACAGCCAGCCACAGAAGGCACAUCUAUUACCAGAAGCAAUGAUGAAUCCAUCUGGAGGGGAGAAUUCAGCCAAUGUUGUUCUGAUCUCUGGACAAGGACAGAAAUAUAUUUGGUCGCCUGAGCAAGGUUCAGUUUGUGCACAGAUAUGUGUGAAUAUUAUACAUGCUGGGGCUGCCCACAACCUGUAUGCACGCAAAGACAUAUACCUGAAUGUACCUAUGCCCUGACGGUGCCCUCAGCGCCCUGUUUUUUCAGGGUACAGACUGUGCAUUGAGAGAGCAAAGCACAUGUUUGCCCUGUGGAUGGGAGCUCAGAUACGUUGAGGGGGGUUUGGGCCUGACCGAACCCUUCAAGCAUAGAUUUCAGUAUGUUUUGACCAUCCACCCAGUGCUUUUUUGUGCACUGAAAAUAAACACAUGGAAUUGGAAACCUCUGUUUAUUCCAAAUAUUA